GUGGGGAAUAUUGCGCAAUGGGGGAAACCCUGACGCAGCAACGCCGCGUGAUUGAAGAAGGCCUUCGGGUUGUAAAGAUCUUUAAUUGGGGACGAAAUAAAUGACGGUACCCAAAGAAUAAGCUCCGGCUAACUACGUGCCAGCAGCCGCGGUAAUACGGAGGGUGCAAGCGUUAUCCGGAUUCACUGGGUUUAAAGGGUGCGUAGGCGGGUUGAUAAGUCAGUGGUGAAAGCUCCGGGCUUAACUUGGAAACUGCCAUUGAUACUGUCAGUCUUGAAUGUCGUAGAGGUAAGCGGAAUGUUGCAUGUAGCGGUGAAAUGCUUAGAUAUGUUACAGAACACCAAUUGCGAAGGCAGCUUACUAUGCGAUAAUUGACGCUGAGGCACGAAAGCGUGGGGAGCAAACAGGAUUAGAUACCCCAGUAGUCC
rnacentral:rRNA from 1 species